UAUUUAUUUUUCUUGGCAAAGCAUUCACUUUGGGGCAGAGUAGAGCAAUUCAUUUGGCUUUCUUUUAAUGCAGAUAGUGACAAGGUUUACUCCCUUGGACAAUCUUUGCAGAUCCUGCACGAGUCCUUUGUGCUCUGUCCUCUCUCCUCCGCACCACCCCCAGCCCCCAGCCUAUUUUAUUCCAUAGGGACUGAGGGGAACAACACACCCUGUGCCCUCAGCGCUACCUCACAAUGACAUCUGCUGGUGGCAUCGCCCUGAGAGUAGCAUAGCUCCUCUGGCCCUCAGCUGUGUCCUUGUGAUGCCUACCAAAUGUUCCAAAUAUAUAUUACAAACAAAUAGGCAUUAAGAGGAUCAUUUCUGGUUCAAGUACAAAACCAUGACCGAGAGACAGUUCUGUUGGCCCGGGAGGAAAUGGGGAGAGACAUUUCAGAGAAAUGGGUCCGGCUGGCUCCUGCUAAAUAUCACAAAGCAAUUAUAUCACAGAAUACAAGGACAUUCUUCAGCCGUUGUCCAGGUGCUCUGACAAUGCCUUUAGAGGCUUACAGACAUUUUUAUUUACCAGUUAAAUAAUUUACUAUACCUCGAUAUUGAAAAAACGUAUGUGGAACAAAUUACGAUAUCCAUAAAAUGGUGACGGUCGCUUCCCUUUAUUUCUUUUUUAAUCAAAAGUGACCCCUCAUUACAUGACACAGUUGCUAACAUAGUGUUUAUUUCCAUCCACUUGAGACAGUUAAAUGUAUAGGUGAAAUAUUAAAAAACUUUACAAAUGAAA